UGCCGCGUGUGUGAAGAAGGCCUUUUGGUUGUAAAGCACUUUAAGCGAGGAGGAGGCUACUUAGAUUAAUACUCUAGGAUAGUGGACGUUACUCGCAGAAUAAGCACCGGCUAACUCUGUGCCAGCAGCCGCGGUAAUACAGAGGGUGCGAGCGUUAAUCGGAUUUACUGGGCGUAAAGCGUGCGUAGGCGGCUUCUUAAGUCGGAUGUGAAAUCCCUGAGCUUAACUUAGGAAUUGCAUUCGAUACUGGGAAGCUAGAGUAUGGGAGAGGAUGGUAGAAUUCCAGGUGUAGCGGUGAAAUGCGUAGAGAUCUGGAGGAAUACCGAUGGCGAAGGCAGCCAUCUGGCCUAAUACUGACGCUGAGGUACGAAAGCAUGGGGAGCAAACAGGAUUAGAUACCCUGGUAGUCCAUGCCGUAAACGAUGUCUACUAGCCGUUGGGGCCUUUGAGGCUUUAGUGGCGCAGCUAACGCGAUAAGUAGACCGCCUGGGGAGUACGGUCGCAAGACUAAAACUCAAAUGAAUUGACGGGGGCCCGCACAAGCGGUGGAGCAUGUGGUUUAAUUCGAUGCAACGCGAAGAACCUUACCUGGUCUUGACAUAGUAAGAACUUUCCAGAGAUGGAUUGGUGCCUUCGGGAACUUACAUACAGGUGCUGCAUGGCUGUCGUCAGCUCGUGUCGUGAGAUGUUGGGUUAAGUCCCGCAACGAGCGCAACCCUUUUCCUUAUUUGCCAGCGGGUUAAGCCGGGAACUUUAAGGAUACUGCCAGUGACAAACUGGAGGAAGGCGGGGACGACGUCAAGUCAUCAUGGCCCUUACGACCAGGGCUACACACGUGCUACAAUGGUCGGUACAAAGGGUUGCUACCUAGCGAUAGGAUGCUAAUCUCAAAAAGCCGAUCGUAGUCCGGAUUGGAGUCUGCAACUCGACUCCAUGAAGUCGGAUCGCUAGUAAUCGCGGAUCAGAAUGCCGCGGUGAUACGUUCCCGGCUGUACACACGCCGUCACACCAUGGGAUUUGUGCACCAGAAGUAGUAGUCUAACCGCAAGG
rnacentral:rRNA from 1 species